CCUACGGGAGGCAGCAGUCGAGAAUCAUUCACAAUGGGGGAAACCCUGAUGGUGCGACGCCGCGUGGGGGAAUGAAGGUCUUCGGAUUGUAAACCCCUGUCAUGUGGGAGCAAAUUAAAAAGAUAGUACCACAAGAGGAAGAGACGGCUAACUCUGUGCCAGCAGCCGCGGUAAUACAGAGGUCCCAAGCGUUGUUCGGAAUCACUGGGCGUAAGGCGUGCGUAGGCUGUUUCGUAAGUCGUGUGUGAAAGGCGCGGGCUCAACCCGCGGACGGCACAUGAUACUGCGAGACUAGAGUAAUGGAGGGGGAACCGGAAUUCUCGGUGUAGCAGUGAAAUGCGUAGAUAUCGAGAGGAACACUCGUGGCGAAGGCGGGUUCCUGGACAUUAACUGACGCUGAGGCACGAAGGCCAGGGGAGCGAAAGGGAUUAGAUACCCUGGUAGUC
rnacentral:rRNA from 1 species